UCUGGGGAAACUCACAUUUGCCUGACAGGGAUCAGGCUAUAUUGGGUAAUAAAAUCUGUGAGGCAUAUUCAGGCUUUGGUUCCUCUCCAUCUGCAAAAACGGUGAAAAUAAGUCCUAGCUCUAUAUGAUAAAUAUCUGCCAAUGAGUUUCAUAAACAGUAGGUCAGUAAAAAGCCACCACAUUUGAAGGAAUUCACCCACUAUCUGCUCAGAGCUGUCUGUACCCUGAAAUACCCUUUACUUCCCGAUAUACACCAUGGCAGUUAAGAUCAUAAUCAGGUUUUUUUUGGUUUUUUUUUUUGUUUGUUUGUUUGUUUUUUUGUACUAAAGAUCUUACAGCUAAUUAAAUGAUUUGGGAACAGGCUGACUAAGUGCUUAGGUAGUUGCUGGACAAUUAGCAACUCAAAACGGACUUUUGCACUCAAAGCCAAUGAAAGUGCUGAAGAAAAUUUACACCAAUCUGUGUGAAAUUUUCUUCUCAGAAGUAAUCUGACAAUAAACAUUACAUUCUCCUGAUAAGUUAAACUCUAAGCCUAUAUUUUCAGAGACCAUAACAUAAUAAUUCCCCUCCAUUUCCAUUCCUUUGAAACUAUUGACUAAUUCUUCAGGCACUGUGAUAAUAUUCAGUCAUUCACAAUUCUAAAGCACAACAUUCUAUUUGGAGCUACGUAUCACAUAUGUUCACUGUAAAGCUUGGUCAUUCAGCUUUGCUGAUAUAAUAACACAUAUUCAUCUCCAUAUAGCCAUGAAGAACUAACCAUAGGUUAGGUUCCAUAGCUCAUGGAACAGGUUAACCCCAGCAACAAUUCAUGUUUAAUUUCUAUAACUACUUGUCUCGCUCCAAUUUAUAGGAGGGAGAGGAGGUUCUUUGAAAUAUGUAUGCCCGGCGUAAGAUUAAGAAACAACGGUUCAAAUGUUGGUCCGACCAGUUUAUUACAAAUGUUAAUAAGGGAGAUGGGGAAAGGGGAGGACGGACGCUAUUAAGGAUUGGGGUGAUGGGGAAGGGAAGGCGAGCGAUAGAAAAGAUAGAAAGAGGCAAGAAUUGCGUAAAGCGGGGAUAGUCACCACCAGGAUCCGGCAGCAGUCCCGUUGCACGACAUUCCGACGGUCCGAGGCCGAAGGGCAGGAGCAGCGAGGCCAGUCUGGGGCAGCGAGAGGAUGCAGGUCAGGGAGGAAGCAGCAGGUCUCAGGUAGCGGGCCCAGGGAAGUCCGUCAGCAAACGGUCCGUAGAGGAGGAUCGGAAGGCAGGAAGCUCGUGUCGUGGUGAGAGAUCAGUCUCCACGUAGAGAUCCGUCUCCACGUUGUGGUGAGAGAUCAGCCUCUCCCGUUGCCGUGGUUGUGGUGAAGGAUCAGCUUCCACCGUUGUGGUUAUUGGACCCUCUUUUAUCCUCCAUUUUCUGCUGCCUACGUGACAUUCCUGGGUGCUUGAGCAAGAGUCCUGUGCAUACCUCCUGAGAUGGCCAUUUUCCUUGAGAUAAGUCCACACAAAAAGACCGAUCGGAAGGCAGGAAGCUCGUGCCGUGGUGAGAGAUCAGUCUCCACGUAGAGAUCCGUCUACACGUUGCGGUGAGAGAUCAGCCUCUCCCGUUGCCGUGGUUGUGGUGAAGGAUCAGCUUCCACCGUUGUGGUUAUUGGACCCUCUUUUAUCCUCCAUUUUCUGCUGCCUACGUGACAUUCCUGGGUGCUUGAGCAAGAGUCCUGUGCAUACCUCCUGAGAUGGCCAUUUUCCUUGAGAUAAGUCCACACAAAAAGACCGUUUCCCGGCCAUUAGCGGCAGCUUAUCUCUCUCUCGAUGCCCCUGGCCUUGUCCAUCUGUGCUCCUUAAAGGAUUUCACAAUCCUUAGCCAGGACCUGUCCAUCAGUGUCCUCAAGACAAAAGAUUUCUCUGCCUUUGCCCAGGACUUGCCUGGACUUGUUCCUCAGCAAACUUUGAGUCAAUGAUAUAAAAGAAUUGUCUCUUACAGAAGUCUAAAACAAUUUCUCAAUUUCUUUAUGCCAGUUUAUUCAAAAAUGACUUUGAUAAAAUUAAUACUGAUGGCUACUCAUGUAAUUCAGGUGAUAACAAGCUUACAUGUGCCUUAAUUUCAGCCUAAAUUGUGUACACACGAAUACUCUCACGUGAAGAAAAGGAGUUUCUUGGAUUUUAAGUUUCAGUAUGAAACAAAU
ensembl:lncRNA